rnacentral:rRNA from 1 species
GACGUUGGGAAAGCGAGCGGCGGAUGGGUGAGUAACACGUGGGGAACCUGCCCCUAAGUCUGGGAUACCAUUUGGAAACAGGUGCUAAUACCGGAUAAUAAAGCAGAUCGCAUGAUCAGCUUUUGAAAGGCGGCGUAAGCUGUCGCUAAGGGAUGGCCCCGCGGUGCAUUAGCUAGUUGGUAAGGUAACGGCUUACCAAGGCGACGAUGCAUAGCCGAGUUGAGAGACUGAUCGGCCACAUUGGGACUGAGACACGGCCCAAACUCCUACGGGAGGCAGCAGUAGGGAAUCUUCCACAAUGGACGCAAGUCUGAUGGAGCAACGCCGCGUGAGUGAAGAAGGUUUUCGGAUCGUAAAGCUCUGUUGUUGGUGAAGAAGGAUAGAGGUAGUAACUGGCCUUUAUUUGACGGUAAUCAACCAGAAAGUCACGGCUAACUACGUGCCAGCAGCCGCGGUAAUACGUAGGUGGCAAGCGUUGUCCGGAUUUAUUGGGCGUAAAGCGAGCGCAGGCGGAAAAAUAAGUCUAAUGUGAAAGCCCUCGGCUUAACCGAGGAACUGCAUCGGAAACUGUUUUUCUUGAGUGCAGAAGAGGAGAGUGGAACUCCAUGUGUAGCGGUGGAAUGCGUAGAUAUAUGGAAGAACACCAGUGGCGAAGGCGGCUCUCUGGUCUGCAACUGACGCUGAGGCUCGAAAGCAUGGGUAGCGAACAGGAUUAGAUACCCUGGUAGUCCAUGCCGUAAACGAUGAGUGCUAAGUGUUGGGAGGUUUCCGCCUCUCAGUGCUGCAGCUAACGCAUUAAGCACUCCGCCUGGGGGAGUACGACCGC